AUGCCAUGGUGUGGGCAUUUUCUCAACAACUCUUUAAACCUUUCCCACGCAUCAUGAACAGCUUCAUCAUCUAGUUGUUUAAAAAGACAUAUCUCGUUUCUGGAUUU